UAUGUGAUCGUCUCUCGCAUAUCAAUAAGCGGAGGAAAAGAAACUAACAAGGAUUCCCCUAGUAACGGCGAGUGAAGCGGGAAGAGCUCAAAUUUGAAAUCUUAAAGGGUUUCCCUUUACGAAUUGUAGUUUAAAGAAGUGUUUUCUGUUGAGGUUUUGGUAAAAGUUCUUUGGAAUAGGACAUCAUAGAGGGUGAGAAUCCCGUAUUUGACCUUUACUUUCAACUUUGUGAUACACUUUCAAAGAGUCGGAUUGUUUGGGAAUGCAGUCCAAAAUGGGUGGUAAAUUUCAUCUAAAGCUAAAUAUUGGCGAGAGACCGAUAGCGAACAAGUACCGUGAGGGAAAGAUGAAAAGAACUUUGAAAAGAGAGUUAAACAGUACGUGAAAUUGUCAAAAGGGAAGCGUUUGACACCAGUGUUGUUUUUCUGAAAAUCAAUUAAAGAACUGUUUAUGCUAAGCUGUUUAGACUUUAUCAGCUAAUCUGCUUAGUUUUGAGCUUUUCUUUAAUGCACUUUUCAGUUAACAAGUCAACAUCAAUUUCUUUUGCUGUAAAAAAGCUUGAGGAAGGUGGCUUGAGAUUCGUCUUAAGUGUUUAUAGCCUCUUGCCUAUGCAGUCGGAGAGAUUGAGGUCCUGCAGCGUAGAUCCUUCGGGGCUAAAUGCAUUUGUGCUAAGUUAUAGCAUUUUAUAGACAACUUGUUGACUAUGAUUUGUCUUGUAGCUUACUCGCUUAUGUUAUUUUACCUACGCUUAGGAUGUUGAUAUCGCGCUCUCACUG
rnacentral:rRNA from 1 species